rnacentral:rRNA from 1 species
CCUACGUGGUGCAGCAGUGGGGAAUAUUGGGCAAUGGGCGCAAGCCUGACCCAGCAACGCCGCGUGAAGGACGAAGGCUUUCGGGUUGUAAACUUCUUUUAUCAGGGACGAAGCAAGUGACGGUACCUGAUGAAUAAGCCACGGCUAACUACGUGCCAGCAGCCGCGGUAAUACGUAGGUGGCAAGCGUUAUCCGGAUUUACUGGGUGGAACGGGCGUGUAGGCGGGAGUGCAAGUCAGAUGUGAAAACUAUGGGCUCAACCCAUAGCCUGCAUUUGAAACUGUACUUCUUGAGUGCUGGGGAGGCAAUCGGAAUUUCGUGGGUAGCGGUGAAGUGCGUAGAUAUACGGAGGAACACCAGUGGCGAAGGCGGAUGGCUGGACAGUAACUGACGCUGAGGCGCGAAAGCGUGGGGAGCAAACAGGAUUAGAUACCCCGGUAGUA